AUUCUGGGGCUGCUGGAUGCUCACUUGAAGACGAGGACUUUUCUGGUGGGUGAACAAGUUACAUUGGCUGACAUCACAGUUAUCUGCACCCUGUUGUGGCUCUAUAAGCAGGUUCUAGAGCCUUCUUUCCGCCAGGCCUUUCCCAAUACCAACCACUGGUUCCUCACCUGCAUUAACUAGCCCCAGUUCCAGGCUGUCUUGGGGGAAGUGAAACUGUAUGAGAAGAUGGCCCGGUUUGAUGCUAAAAAGUUUACAGAGAGCCAACCUAAAAAGGACACGCCAUGGAAAGAGAAACGUUCACAGGAGAAAAACGCAGCUUGUCCGGCUUCUGGGAGGAGACUGAUGAAUAUGAGCAGGUGCAGGUUGCUGAGCCCAAGGCCAAGGACCCCUUUGCUCACCUGCCCAAGAGUACCUUUGUGUUAAAUGAAUUUAAGCGCAAUUACUCCAGUGAGGACACACUCUCUGUGGCACUGUCAUAUUUCUGGAAGCACUUUGAUAAGGAUGGCUGGUCCCUGUGGUACUCAGAGUAUUGCUUCCCUGAAGAACUCACUCAGACCUUCAUGAGCUGCAAUCUCAUCUCUGGAAUGUUCCAGUGACGGGAUAGGCUGAGGAAGAAUGCCUUUGACAGUAUCAUCCUCUUUGGAACCAUCAAUAGCAGCUCCAUUUCUGGAUUGUGGAUCUUCAGAGGCCAGGAGCUUGCCUUUCCACUGAGUCCAGUUUGGCAGGUGGACUACGAGUCCUACGCAUGGCAGAAACUGAAUCCUAGCAGCGAUGAGACACAGCGCUGGUUCGAGAGUCCUUCUUCUGGGAGGGGGCCUUCUCGCAUGUGGGCAAAGCCUUCAAUCAGGGCAAGAUUUUCAAGGAACGUCUCUUGCCAUUACCUAGCUGCCUGCACAUCCCCUUCAGGGAGAUGGGAGUCAUUAAAGGAAACUGA